rnacentral:rRNA from 1 species
UAAUGUUAAAUUUUAUUAGGUUUGGCCUGCUCAAUGAUUAUAUUUAAAUAGCCGCAGUAUCUUGACUGUGCGAAGGUAGCAUAAUCAUUUGUCUUUUAAUUGAAGGCUGGAAUGAAUGGUUGGAUGAGGGAAUGUCUUUCUUUAAGUUAUAAUAUUGAAUUUAAUUUUUUAGUUAAAAAGCUAAAAUUUUGGAAUGGGACGAGAAGACCCUAUAGAAUUUUAUUUUUAUAUUUAUAUAAAUAUUUUUGGUAUAAUUAAUAAUUUAUAUUUUAUGGAAAUUUUGUUGGGGUGACGUUGAGAUUCAUUAAACUCUCAUAUUUUAAUUUUUAUUUAUAUAUAUAUUUAGGAUCCUAUUUUUUAGAUAUUUAGAUUAAAUUACCUUAGGGAUAACAGCGUAAUUUUUUUGGAGAGUUCUUAUCGAUAAAGGAGUUUGCGACCUCGAUGUUGGAUUAAAAUAAGAUUUUAGUGUAGAAGCUAAUUUUUCUGGGUCUGUUC